rnacentral:rRNA from 1 species
UACAGGGGGGGGCAAGCGUUUGUUCGGAAUUACUGGGCGUAAAGGGCCAGUAGGCGGCCAACUAAGUCCGACGUGAAAUCCCCAAGCUUAACUUGGGAACUGCGUCGGAUACUGGAUGGCUUGAAUUCGGGAGAGGGAUGCAGAAUUCCAGGUGUAGCGGUGAAAUGCGUAGAUAUCAGGAGGAACACCGAUGGCGAAGGCAGGUCUCUGGGCAUUAACUGACGCUGAGGAGCGAAAGCAUGGGGAGCGAACAGG